GACGUAGGGCGCGAGCGUUGUCCGGAUUUAUUGGGCGUAAAGAGCUCGUAGGCGGCUUGUCGCGUCGACUGUGAAAUCCCGCGGCUCAACUGCGGGUCUGCAGUCGAUACGGGCAGGCUAGAGUUCGGCAGGGGAGACUGGAAUUCCUGGUGUAGCGGUGAAAUGCGCAGAUAUCAGGAGGAACACCGGUGGCGAAGGCGGGUCUCUGGGCCGAUACUGACGCUGAGGAGCGAAAGCGUGGGGAGCGAACAGG
rnacentral:rRNA from 1 species